rnacentral:rRNA from 1 species
AGAGUUUGAUCAUGGCUCAGAGCGAACGCUGGCGGCAGGCUUAACACAUGCAAGUCGAACGGGCACUUCGGUGCUAGUGGCAGACGGGUGAGUAACACGUGGGAACGUACCUUUUGGUUCGGAAUAAUCCAGGGAAACUUGGACUAAUACCGGAUACGCCCUUCGGGGGAAAGAUUUAUCGCCGAAAGAUCGGCCCGCGUCUGAUUAGCUAGUUGGUGAGGUAAAGGCUCACCAAGGCGACGAUCAGUAGCUGGUCUGAGAGGAUGAUCAGCCACAUUGGGACUGAGACACGGCCCAAACUCCUACGGGAGGCAGCAGUGGGGAAUAUUGGACAAUGGGCGCAAGCCUGAUCCAGCCAUGCCGCGUGAGUGAUAAAGGCCUUAGGGUUGUAAAGCUCUUUUGUCCGGGAAGAUAAUGACUGUACCGGAAGAAUAAGCCCCGGCUAACUUCGUGCCAGCCGCCGCGGUAAUAC